GACGGGGCCGCACAAGCAGUGGAGUAUGUGGUUUAAUUCGAAGCAACGCGAAGACCUUACCAGGGCUUGACAUCCCUUGAAGCAGCUAGAGAUAGCUGUGUCCUUCGGGACAAGGAGACAGGUGGUGCAUGGUUGUCGUCAGCUCGUGUCGUGAGAUGUUGGGUUAAGUCCCGCAACGGGCGCAACCCCUACGUUUAGUUGCUAACGCGUGAAGGCGAGCACUCUAGACGAACUGCCGUUGACAAAACGGAGGAAGGUGGGGAUGACGUCAAAUCAUCAUGCCCCUUAUGUUCUGGGCUACACACGUGCUACAAUGGCCGGUACAGACGGACGCAAAGCCGCGAGGUGGAGCAAAUCCUAAAAAGCCGGUCUCAGUUCGGAUUGCAGGCUGCAAUUCGCCUGCAUGAAGUCGGAAUCGCUAGUAAUCGCAGGUCAGCAUACUGCGGUGAAUACGUUCCCGGGCCUU
rnacentral:rRNA from 1 species